rnacentral:rRNA from 1 species
GACGAACGCUGGCGGCGUGCUUAACACAUGCAAGUCGAACGGAAAGGCCCUGCUUUUGUGGGGUGCUCGAGUGGCGAACGGGUGAGUAACACGUGAGUAACCUGCCCUUGACUUUGGGAUAACUUCAGGAAACUGGGGCUAAUACCGGAUAGGAGCUCCUGCUGCAUGGGGGGGGUUGGAAAGUUUCGGCGGUGGGGGCAGGACUCGCGGCUUAUGAGCUUGUUGGUGGGGUAGUGGCUUACCAAGGCUUUGACGGGUAGCCGGCCUGAGAGGGUGACCGGCCACCAUGGGCCUGAGGUACGGCCCAGACUGCUACGUGAGGCAGCAGUCGGGAAUCUUGCACAACGGGCCGAAGCCUGAUGCAGAAACGCCGCGUGCGGGAUGCCGGCCUUCGGGUUGUAAACCGCUUUCGCCUGUGACGAAGCGUGAGUGACGGUACCGGGUCAAGAAGCCCCGGCUAACUACGUG